UCGAGCGAGCUUGCCUAGAUGAUUUUAGUGCUUGCACUAAAUGAAACUAGAUACAAGCGAGCGGCGGACGGGUGAGUAACACGUGGGUAACCUGCCCAAGAGACUGGGAUAACACCUGGAAACAGAUGCUAAUACCGGAUAACAACACUAGACGCAUGUCUAGAGUUUGAAAGAUGGUUCUGCUAUCACUCUUGGAUGGACCUGCGGUGCAUUAGCUAGUUGGUAAGGUAACGGCUUACCAAGGCAAUGAUGCAUAGCCGAGUUGAGAGACUGAUCGGCCACAUUGGGACUGAGACACGGCCCAAACUCCUACGGGAGGCAGCAGUAGGGAAUCUUCCACAAUGGACGAAAGUCUGAUGGAGCAACGCCGCGUGAGUGAAGAAGGGUUUCGGCUCGUAAAGCUCUGUUGGUAGUGAAGAAAGAUAGAGGUAGUAACUGGCCUUUAUUUGACGGUAAUUACUUAGAAAGUCACGGCUAACUACGUGCCAGCAGCCGCGGUAAUACGUAGGUGGCAAGCGUUGUCCGGAUUUAUUGGGCGUAAAGCGAGUGCAGGCGGUUCAAUAAGUCUGAUGUGAAAGCCUUCGGCUCAACCGGAGAAUUGCAUCAGAAACUGUUGAACUUGAGUGCAGAAGAGGAGAGUGGAACUCCAUGUGUAGCGGUGGAAUGCGUAGAUAUAUGGAAGAACACCAGUGGCGAAG
rnacentral:rRNA from 1 species